rnacentral:rRNA from 1 species
CCGAAGCUACGGCAUCAGUAAUGAUGGGUAGGGGAGCUUCCCAUACGGGUUGAAGCAUGACCGUAAGGACAUGUGGACAGUAUGGGAGUGAGAAUGUUGGCAUGAGUAGCGAGAUGUGGGUGAGAAUCCCACAGGCCGUAAACCCAAGGUUUCCAGGGGAAGGUUCGUCCGCCCUGGGUUAGUCGGAACCUAAGCUGAGGCCGAAAGGCGUAGGUGAUGGACAACAGGUUGAUAUUCCUGUACUACCGAUAACCAUUUGAGAGAAGGGAUGACACAGUAGGAUAAGCUAAGCACACUGUUGGUUAUGUGUGCCCAAGCAUUGAGGCAGUCAAAGUAGGCAAAUCCGCUUUGAUAAUGCUGGGAUGUGAUGGGGAGCGAAAUUUAGUAGCGAAGUAG